CUAGCUUCUCUCAACGCCGAUCCUCUUCCCUAGCCCUCUCCCUCUCGCGACUCACCUCCCUCGCCGAGCUCAGCCGACCCUCCUCACGCGAACGCCAAGACGCCGUCGGCCCUCCUCCUCCCGCGAGCAUCCGGACGCCGACGGCCUCUCCUCCUCUUCCUCCCUAAGCCGCACGCCGCCCGGUCUCCUUUUUCUUUCCCGAGCCGCACCGCCGAGCCCUCCUUCACUCUCCCUCACGAAUUCCCGCACCAGCAACAGGCAAGAUUCUCCUUCUCCUCACGCGAGCAUUCCAGCCGGAGAGGAAGCUGUGGACACAAGCUUUGUUUGGAGAGUGGAAGUUCGUCUUUGCUUGUGUAAAUUUUCUGCAAGUUCCCUCCCUCUAUGUUGAUAUAAGGUCUGUGAGGACACUGCUACGAGCCAAGUGUUCCGAAGUGGAGACAGCCUAUCACGAUCGACAAGUAAAGGCGGGUACUUCUUACUUUGAUUUUCUAGUUCUUCGAACUUAGUGCAUGAGCUAUUUUGGAUAAGAAUUGCUUUACCUUGACUCCACUCGAAAUUUUUCCUAUGCUUGAUACUU